GACGAACGCUGGCGGCGUGCUUAACACAUGCAAGUCGAACGGAAAGGCCUCUUUCGGGGGGUACUCGCGUGGCGAACGGGCGAGUAACACGCGAGUAACCUGCCCUUGUCUUUGGGAUAACUUCAGGAAACUGGGGCGAACACAGGACAGGAGCUCCUGCUGACUGGUGGGGGUUGGAAAGUUUCGGGGGUUGGGGGUGGACUAGCGGCUUAUCAGCUUGUCGGUGGGGUAAUGGCUUACCAAGGCUUUGCCGGGUAGCCGGACUGAGGGGGUGACCGGCCACCUUGGGACUGAGGUACGGCCCAAACUGCUACGGGAGGCAGCAGUGGGGAAUAUUGCACAAUGGGUGGAAGCCUGAUGCAGCAGCGCCGUGUGCGGGAUGACGGUCUUCGGGUUGUAAAACGCUUUCGCUCAUGACGAAGCUUUGUGUGACGGUAGUGGGUAAAGAAGCACCGGCUAACUACGUG
rnacentral:rRNA from 1 species